UACGUAGGGGGCAAGCGUUGUCCGGAUUUAUUGGGCGUAAAGAGCGUGUAGGCGGCUUUACAGGUCCGUUGUGAAAACUCGAGGCUCAACCUCGAGACGCCGGUGGAAACCGUAAGGCUAGAGUCCGGAAGAGGAGAGUGGAAUUCCUGGUGUAGCGGUGAAAUGCGCAGAUAUCAGGAGGAACACCGGUGGCGAAGGCGGGUCUCUGGGCAGUGAACUGACGCUGGAGGAGCGAAAGCGUGGGGAGCGAACAGG
rnacentral:rRNA from 1 species